GGCUAUUUGUCGAUAUGGUGAUUGAUUGUAAUACAGGUGGAAGACAGCUGAAUUGAGCUAAAUGAUAGCUGCAAGAUAAUCAUUUGCAUCUUAGAACCACAUCAGUAUUCCACCAACGAUACUUACUUUAGAUCGGCAAAUAGCUAAAUUGAGUAUCAUGUAUCAUCCAUAUCUUAGAGUCAUAUCGAUAGAGGACCGACAUCAUAAGGCAGAUCGAUAAUGAGCCGAAUUAUGUUUCAUCGAGAAUUAACUCUGAUCAAAUCAGGUCGAC
rnacentral:lncRNA from 1 species